rnacentral:lncRNA from 1 species
CAUAAGAAGAAGUAUAAGCGGUAAAAUUUGUUGAAGGUUGACAAACACAUCACUAGUCUCUGAUGCAACACAUGAAAGAAUUAAUAAGGGAAGAGAAGAUUUACAUGCAAAAACACUAUCCUUGACAUGUUUUAUGAUUGUGAGACCCCAUUAGUUAUAGUAUGCCAAAACUGUUGGUGUUGCACAAGGAAGAGAAUGUAAUGAUUUAUGCUUGUUCACAUUCACGUGGAAGUUAUAUUGUUAUAGAUCCUCUAACAUGUGGCGCUUUCCCAAUAUCUUUGCUAGCCAAAACUCCGCAUUAAGUAGAGAUACUACUUAUGCAUCCAAAACCUUAAACCCAAAUCCAUGUUUUAAGAGUGCACCAUACCUACAUAUGGAUUGAGUAAGAUUCUUCAAGUAAGUUGUCAUCGGUGCACAAGGCAAUAAAAAUUGCUUCUAAACAUGUUCGAACAUUUAGUGUAAGGGAAGUUAAGAGUUGUAUGAACUUGUGAUGGCGAUAAUAAAAGCGAUAAACAACAUAAUAAAGGUUGCUAUCAUAAGGGGCAAUAUAACAUAACAUUCCUUUGUACUAAGGGAUUUGUCAUACAACCAAAAAGCACAUGACAACCUAUGCUUCCCUCUACGAAGGGCAAAUCUUUUACUUUUACAUAUUUACUUUUAUUCAAGAAUCAAAGUAUUCUUCUCUACUCAUUUUUAUUUGCUCUUUUGCAAGCAUCAUGUGGUGGGGAAAGAUCUAGGCAUAUAUAUCCAGUUGAAUGUGGGUGGUCAUAAAUUAUUAUUGUUGACAUCACCCUUGAGGUGAAUACGUUCGGAGACGACACUUUAAGCCCCUAUAUUUCUAUGUGUCUGAUUGAAAGCUUUUGCUCAUAUGUAUGUGGUGGGUGUUAGCAAUUAUACAAGAGUAAAUGAUGGUUGAGUUUGUAGACUUGCUUACAAGCUCCGAUAUGUGACCCUUCCUGAAAAUGUGAUGAAUUGUGUUGAAAAGUUGACUGAAAACAUACUUUCUUAGUUUUCCGUAGGGUUUAUGCUUCAUACUUCGAUGUUGUGAUGAAUUGUUACUUGUUUAUGAGAAGUUUUUAUGAUGAAAAUUAUGUGAUAAAGUAUAUGAUGAAGUUUAUUUUCGGUUAUAAUAAUGAGAAUAAUGCUACUGUGUUUGUAUUUUGUUUUUAUUGACACCUCUCUCUCAAAGCAUGUGGUCAUGAUUUUGGUUAUCGGCUUUUGCUUGAGGACAAGCGAGGUCUAAUCUUAGGGGAAUUGGUACGUCCAUUUUUCAUCAUGAUUUUCUACUUUUAUUUAUAGUGUUUGUAUGCAUUAUACCACUUUAUGGAGAAAUUCUAAUGCCUUUUAUCUCAUAAUAUGCAAGGUUUACACCAUGAGGGAGAACGCAAGCAGAUGGAAUUCUGGACCUGAAAAAACUACAUGAGAAAUACCUAUUCUGCACAUAUCCAAAUGGGCAAAAUAUUCAGAGGGAUAUUUUACAGAAUAAAUAAAAAAUACUUGAAGAAAGAAGUACCAGAGGGGGGCUGCUAGGUGGCCACUCGGCACUAGGGUGCGCCACCCCCCCCCCCCCCGGCAUGCCCUGGUGGGUAGUGGUCCACCUGACCAUCUUCUGGUAUAUAUUCACGUUUGACCUAGAAAAAAAUAAGGAGCGGACUUUCGGGAGGGAGUGCCACCGUCUUGAGGCGGAACUUGGGCUGGAGCACUUUUCCCCUCCGGCGGAGCGAUUACGUCGGGAAACUUCCCUCCCAAAGGGUGAAAUCGAGGGCACCGUCAUCACCAACAACCCUCUCACCUUGGGGAGUCCAAUCUUCAUCAACAUAUUCAACAACACCAUCUCCUCUCAAAACCUAGUUCAUCUCUUCUGUUCAAUCUUGUACCGGAACCUCAGAUUGGUACGUGGGGAUUACUAGUAGUGUUGAUUACAUCUUGUUGUUAAUGCUUUGUAGUUUAUUUGGUGGAAUAUCAUAUGUUCAGACCCAAUAUUCUAUUUAAUACCCCUCUAAUCAUGAGCAUGUUCAUCACUUGUGAGUGGUUACUUUUGUUCUUGAGGCCACAGGAGAAGUCAUCUUGCAAGUAGUCAUGUGAAGUUGAUAUUCGUUCAAUAUUUUGAUGGUAUGAAUGUUGUGAUUCCCUUCAUGGAAUUAUGUGAACAUCGACUACAUAAUACUUUACCAUCUUUGGGCCUAAAGGAAUGCAUUGUGGAGUAGUUAUUUGAUGAUGGGUUGCGGAGUGACAGAAACUUAAAUCCAAGUUUAUGCGCUACUCCGUAAGGGGCUGAUUUGGAUCUGUAUGUUUAAUCAUAUGGUUAGAAUAUAUUCUUAAUACUUUUCUCAUAGUUGCAAAUGCUUGCGGGCGGGUUAAUCAUAAGUAGGGAGCUUGUUCAAGUAAGAAUAGAACCCAAGCACCGUUUCGCCCACAUAUCAAAUUAUCAAAGUACCAAACGCGAAUUAAACCGACAUGACGAAAGUCACUAUAUGAAAUUCCCGUGUGCCCUCAAGAAUGCUUUGCCUAUUAUAAGAAACUAUUCCAGUUUGUCCUUUGCCAAAAAAGGAUUGGCUACCUUUCUGCACUUAUCAUUACUAUUGCUACUCGUUGCUUGUUACAAUUAUCUUCCUAUCAAGCAACUUGUUACCUCUAUUUCAAUGCUUGCGAAAUUACCUUGUUGAAAACCGCUUGUCAUUUCCUUCUUUUCCUUGUUGGGUUUGACACAAUUACUUAUCUAAACGACUACGACCGAUCUUCUAUACUUGUGGUCAUUAGGUACCUGUACCUGUGGUGUUGUAGUAAUUUGUGAGCCACGGGGAGUCAACAAUCUUGCGACCAUGAUAUCAAGACUAAUUAAGUUAUUGGGUGCGGCAUGGUUAAGUGGUGAGGUUGGAGCAACACUAAGCAAUAUUUGGUGGAUAUCUUACGAGAACAUAAUUUAAAUUGGGCAGUUUACGAAUAAACAGGCGUGAGAUGAAAAUGAUCUAGAGGUGAUCCUGAACACCUACUUACGUCAGACAUAACCCCAUCGUGUCCUGAGUCGGAGUAGAAACUAACGAGCACAGACAAUCAUAGUUACGCACAUAGUUGGCAGGUUUUAAUUGAGUUUACUUCAAUUUUUCUAUAACUAGAUGUUAAACAAAUUUCCAAGUUGCCACAUAACCGCAUGCAUGGCUUUCAGAAAGAUAUUAACCCUGUAGGGAUGCUCCAACUAGUCCAUCACAAACUAUCACAAGCUGCUCUGGAGAGAAAACCUCAACCUCAAGGUAGCCCAACGUAUCACCGAUAUCCGAGUGGACAAGACAUUAAUAAAGAGUAAAAAAAUUCCAGCAAGACCGCCCAGUAGGCUAGAUCCCAAUAGGACCCACACGUAUCUCUUUCUCACGGCACUACCAGAUGAGCUAGACGUCGAUUUGGCUGAAACCCCCGGUGACUAGGAGCCGCUGAACAUCGCUUGGUUUGGACCAAUACUCAUGAGGAGCACUCGCCCGGGUUCUUGAUUAAGAUCCAUGGGGUAGCUAUUCCCUAUGCAUUUUUAUUAAGUUCUUUAGCAAAUUUAAUAUCAAUGUUUGGCUUUGCCGGAAGAGUCUUAACUCAAAAUGAAUUAUCAAGGGGGUCCUCAUGACAACCCCAACUGUUUUAAGAGCACUCAAUAUGGAACAUGACACAAGUAACCGGAAACUAGGGCGGCAAAAGAGGAACAAAACACCGAGAAAAAGGCCAAUCCUUCCGCCUUCACAAGGUAUAUAUGUGCACUAAUUUAAAUAGAAAUAAUAAGAUGAUAUUCCAAAUUUCCAUGUCAACACAUGUAUUAACCUGUACCUGCAACUAGCAACGCUAUAAGAAGGUUUGAGAAAGCGCUAACUUAGCUAAUUAACGUUUGCUAGGAUGUGGAGGGGUUAGAGGCUUUUCAAGGCAAUGUUUGGAAGCUUGAUAUUCAGGUGGUAGGCAGAAAUAAAUAGCUAUGGAAAUGAGAAAGCUAAUCAUAAAAAAUUAUAAACGAUAUCAAGGUCACGAUCAUCUUGCCUAGCACUUCUUCUGAGGGAUAAAAGUCUAGCUCUUCAGGAACGUUCUCAACGGGAUACCCGUACUCGUUCUCUGCACUUGAUAGUACCAAAAAUAAAAUACAACAUCCAAUGAACACACAACAAGGCACAAUUCUUCAGACAAUAUGAUACAUGAGUAUGGUAUGAAUGAAGCAGGGCAAUGCUACACUAGUCAUCUUUCUCAUGCAAUUAUUUAGUUAUUACCAUUCUGUAUAGAACCUCAAGAGUAAUUAUUUCGACAUGCAUGACAUGGAAAAAAUAAAUGCAUAAUGAUAAAAUUAUACAAAUGCAUAUAAAGAACGUCACAAACCGAGUUACAGAUCUCUCGAAACUCUCACGACAAGAUACAGAAGGCAAUGAUGAUAAAAACAGAAUUUGAGAGCGGAUAUGGGAAAUUCCUUAGCAUUCCAAGUGUUCCACAGGAUUGGGAACGAAAUUAUUGGUUAAGUAGACCUAAAUUUAAUUCCAAACAAAGGAGCACAACUAAAACAAAGCACGAAACAAUCCAACAAGCAAUAUGUCCACAAACAGCAACAUACCACUUUGUUCAGAUGAAAACGAAUAGCUACAGCGCCCAUCAAGUUCAACCCAAACAUGGAUAUGAAGCUAAAAAAGAGUACAACAACCCCUAACUAAAAUCAACAUGGAUAUGUUCAUGAACCAAUGGCAAUCAAGAUCCUAAUAUGGCAACAAUUAUAACAAAUUAGGACUUGGUGAAAAUUUCAGUUUUAUACUAGCAGUUUUAUCAUGAUGGCAUGUUGAUAGCAAUAAAACUCUAUUCUACAGUAAGUUUCAUAGCAUGAAAUUUGACAGGCUCGUAGAGGACAACAAUCACUAAAAUUCACUCCCACUAACCAUGAGCCAAAACUGAACAAAAACAAUGGUAGCCUCCUCUAAACAUGGCAUGAUGAUAUAAGCAGAUUCUCAAACUUAGUCAAAUUUCACAGGGUGAAUUCACAGCAGUUUACAACAACACGGCAUGUUUGACAGCAACAAUAGCUAAGAUGCAAGGCCUAUUUUUCAAAGUAAUGACUCCAUUUAAUAGAGGGCAACAUGCUAUUUAAUUCACACCACAAUUCCAACACAAAGAACUAGUAUAUGCUUGGCAAUCGUCAUGCCAACACAACUAUUUGAAAUAGUUUUCACACUUAGUCAUCUUUCAACAUACCCAAGCAACAAUAUUGAGAUGGCAUGUUUCGAGCAAGAAAGCUACAAAUAUACAGGGUUUUCAAGGCGAAUAAAAAUACCAGGGCCUAGCACUCCCAAAAUACUACAACUUUCAUUUGACAAGUUUGGCAAAGGGUGCAAGGCUUGCUCCACAAAAAAAAAAUAGGCAUCAUGGUGUCAAAUAGCAUGCACAUCAACUUGCUAAAAAGACAAAACUAAUGUCAUCAUUGGAUUCCUUGGACUUUUCUACCCCAAAAUUACAUAUCAUAAGCAUAUGCUCCUGUAGACAAAUCACCCACAAACUACAACUCAAAAUGCAAUUAACUAGGUAUAACCUAGUAUAUGCCAAAUUAGCAUAUGCUCAAAAUGGACAUGGAUAGAUUUGGAACUUGCCCUAUAAACAAAAAUAAUCCCGCGGGGGGCACCAGUGAUAGUGACACCAAGGCCCCCUAGCUGAAUGACAGGUGGGCCAUAGCGCUCUCGUCAGCUAUUCCAUUUAACACUGAGAGAAAAGAAUGGGGGCUUGGGAGGAUACGAAUCAGAGACAUCGUGGUGGAGCACUACACCUGCUACCACUGGGCUACGCUACGGCGUCGGAUCUAAUCGGUUUCUCGCUUCUUAGAUCAAGCAAAAUGACGGCCACUCUAGCGACCAACAGCCCAGGAGAACGAGGGGGGGGGGGAGCUCAUUNNNNNNNNNNNNNNNNNNNNNNNNNNNNNNNNNNNNNNNNNNNNNNNNNNNNNNNNNNNNNNNNNNNNNNNNNNNNNNNNNNNNNNNNNNNNNNNNNNNNNNNNNNNNNNNNNNNNNNNNNNNNNNNNNNNNNNNNNNNNNNNNNNNNNNNNNNNNNNNNNNNNNNNNNNNNNNNNNNNNNNNNNNNNNNNNNNNNNNNNNNNNNNNNNNNNNNNNNNNNNNNNNNNNNNNNNNNNNNNNNNNNNNNNNNNNNNNNNNNNNNNNNNNNNNNNNNNNNNNNNNNNNNNNNNNNNNNNNNNNNNNNNNNNNNNNNNNNNNNNNNNNNNNNNNNNNGGGGGGGGGGAGCUCAUUCGCUAUGCCGAGGGAAGGUUGCGGGGCGAAGGGGCUCGCUUCAAGCUCGAGGAGGAUCUCUACUCAGCCAUUGCAUGGCGGGGCUGAAGACGAAGCAAGGCGAUGGCGAGCGCUCGCGGAUGCGGCGGGGCGACGCAUAUUUCCACACGCGAGCUGCGGAAAACUACUAAAGCAUGCGCGAGGAAGGGGACGCGAAAUAAACCAAAACCCCUCUUUGAAGAACUCCAUCAGAGAAGCGCCGAGGCGCGGGGUGCAAAGUGACGGCGAGGCCUACAUGGGAGGACACACGCCUGGAUCUGGGAAAAAGCGAGGGGAAUGGGACAGCGGCUACCUCCACUACCUGCUGACGCUCGGAUCUGGCCCGGGUUGCUGCACGACGACGGUGAUGUGUUGUGAAUCCUUGUCGGGAUUCUGCUCCAUGAAACAGAGGACGACGAUGACCAUGCUGCAGGGCUUGGGUCCUAGUGGCGCAUGCGGGGAUGAAGAAAAAGCUGGGACGAGAGAGGUACCAUAC